GACGAUAUAGCUCGAGCGGUAGAGCACAUGCUUAGCAUACAUAAGGUCCUGGGUUCAAUUCCCAGUACCUCCU
rnacentral:tRNA from 1 species